AAUUUUAACCAAAGGCUUCGGACGGCCUUAGUUGUGAAUGAGAUAAUCCAUUGUGUGCUGCUGAGAUUCCAGAGAUGUUGUGGGCCGUUGUACGCUUGAUCGAAGCAGCUCAGCAAUGGAUGAUCUCUGCUCCAACACGAAGGAGUAGAGCGCUAAUUAAAGCACUUAGUUCGCAGUGUCUAAUCUUGACAUGUUUACGAUAAGCUUUAAGGGUAACUUGAGCUCUAUAUUCAUUUUUUGUUCCGACUUUGUGGCUUCAUCAAACUUAGGCGAGGUUUGUUUUCGUCAAUUGAAUAUCACUUGUGUGGAAUUCAAGUUUGUUCGUCCACAGACGCCACCUUGCCUCUAUACUAGGCCAAAUCAUUCGGCUCGACUUUGCCUGUACUCGGGGCCAAGGUCUCUUGAUACGGUGUUGCAUCUCAUCGUCUCAUUUUGGUUCUCAAUUAACA